rnacentral:rRNA from 1 species
AUACCUGAUUCCUGGCGGUAUGCUUACAAUAGCCGUCGUAACGGGGUAUCCGUGUCGACGGCCUGAUGUCAGCGGCGGACGGGUGAGUAACACGUGGGUAACCUGCCUGUAAGACUGGGAUAACUCCGGGAAACCGGGGCUAAUACCGGAUGCUUGAUUGAACCGCAUGGUUCAAUUAUAAAAGGUGGCUUUUACCUACCACUUACAAAUGGACCCGCGGCGCAUUACCUAGUUGGUGAGGUAACGGCUCACCAAGGCAACGAUGCGUAGCCGACCUGAAAGGGUGAUCGGCCACACUGGGACUGAAACACGGCCCAAACUCCUACGGGAGGCAGCAUUAGGGAAUCUUCCGCAAUGGACAAAAGUCUGACGGAGCAACGCCGCGUGAGUGAUGAAGGUUUUCGGAUCGUAAAACUCUGUUGUUAGGGAAGAACAAGUACCGUUCGAAUAGGGCGGUACCUUGACGGUACCUAACCAGAAAGCCACGGCUAACUACGUGCCAGCAGCCGCGGUAAUACGUAGGUGGCAAGCGUUGUCCGGAAUUAUUGGGCGUAAAGCGCGCGCAGGCGGUUUCUUAAGUCUGAUGUGAAAGCCCCCGGCUCACCGGGGAGGGUCAUUGGAAACUGGGAACUUGAGUGCAGAAAGGAGAGUGAAUUUCCACGUGUAGCGGUGAAUGCUUAGAGUUGUGGAGGAACCCCAGUGGCGAAG